GUUAAUACUGGAGGUGCUCGGUGAAUGGUGUCUAUAACUGGCGUCAUGCCUGUUGGGCCUAAGGAGAAAAUUGUACUGAAUGAUCGCUGGUGCCCGAGCCUGCCGAAGCAGAAACGGCAGUGAGCCUACCAGGGUUGCACCUUUGCUCUUGGCCUAGGCCUUUGCCUUAAGGAGUCUGAGCUACAGGGACCGUGUGUGCAGCAGCCCUCUUCUCCUGGUGCUCUGCUCACAGGGAGACAGUGCUGCUUCUGCCCACAACCCACUCACUCCCCUUAGCAUAGAGAAGUGGCAGUGACAAGUGGGGUACUACUCAACCUCCGCACUUGCAACCCCACUAGCCUGGCUUCCACAACCUCUUCCCCCACCCCUCAUCACCGCGGCGAUGCCCCAGGAACCUCUCUGACUCCCUUCUCCCUCACACCCUGUGUGCAGCCAUUUGCCUACUCCUAACUCUUUUGUCUUUAAUAUGCUCAUCCCCACUGCACCCCAGCCGCGACUGUCCCUGCCCCUGGCCUGGGCUGUGGCGCCUGCUUCCUCACUGAUCUCCCCUCCACCAAGCCAACUCCUCCUUGUAACCAAGAAGACUACCGAGGGCUCCGAAGCCAAGGACAGAGAGGCCUCUGUUUGCCUCCAGGCUGGAUUCUGGGCCUCCUUUCUCUUUUCUGCAGUAGGUGUGCACUCUUCCCGGGGUUGCUCAGGAAGAGGGCUCCUCCCGUGGGCUGCCUCAGGCCGAGUGCUGACACAUGGCGGCAGGAGCAGAUAGGGUGCUGCGGUGCUGCCUGCGCUGCCUUAAGAAGCUGAGACUCACACAAGUAUUAAGAGGGUAUCUCUGGAGACAAAGUAGAGAUAGACCCUGUUACGAAUCAGAAAGCCAGCACUAAGUUUUGGAUUAAGCAGAAACCCAUCUCAAUCGAUUCCGACCUGCUCUGUGCCUGUGACCUUGCUGAAGAGAAAAGCCCCAGUCACGCAAUAUUUAAACUCACAUAUCUAAGCAAUCACGACUAUAAACACCUCUACUUUGAAUCGGACGCUGCUACCGUCAAUGAAAUUGUGCUCAAGGUUAACUACAUCCUGGAAUCGCGAGCUAGCACUGCCCGGGCUGACUACUUUGCUCAAAAACAAAGAAAACUGAACAGACGUACGAGCUUCAGCUUCCAGAAGGAGAAGAAAUCCGGGCAGCAGUGACAAUGGCCUCCAGCCUCAAUCUGUUCCGUAGCUCAGAGCCUGCCUGCCAGGGCCAAGUGCCCUAGAGCCCACCCGGUGUCCUGAAGUCCUCGGGGGGAGGCCAGCCCCUGGCUCACUGGCACAGGGCAGGUGGGCUCUCGGGGAAGGUGUCGGGGGCCCCUUGGAGGGAGCACUGGGGACAUUGCCAUGGGACGGAAGUCUGCUUGGCAGUGGCUUUGAUAAGCGAUGCUUGGGGGUCAGACCACCCCCUAGAGGAGCCACGUGCCACCCAGCCACCUUCACUGCCUGCCACCCUGCCCGAGGAUGUACAGAGCCGUGCCCACACAUUUCCUUGCAACUUGAUCAAAUUUCUUAAAGCAAACAAAGAACAAAAAUGUACAUUUCUGUUUUUCCUUUUAAUAAACAGGUGUACUCUUUAUCA
rnacentral:sRNA from 1 species